rnacentral:rRNA from 1 species
UGGGGAAUCUUGCACAAUGGGGGCAACCCUGAUGCAGCGACGCCGCGUGAGCGAUGAAGCCCUUCGGGGCGUAAAGCCCUUUCGACCGGAACGAUAAUGACGGUACCGGGAGAAGAAGCUGCGGCUAACUACGUGCCAGCAGCCGCGGUAAUACGUAGGCAGCAAGCGUUGUUCGGAGUUACUGGGCGUAAAGAGUGCGUAGGCGGUUUUCUAAGUUCGGUGUGAAAUCUCCCGGCUUAACUGGGAGGGUGCGCCGAAGACUGGGAAGCUGGAGUGUGGGAAAGGCAGGCGGAAUUCCUGGUGUAGCUGUGAAAUGCGUAGAUAUCAGGAGGAACACCGGCGGUGUAGACGGCUUGCUAGACCAUAACUGACGCUGAGGCACGAAAGCGUGGGUAGCAAACA